rnacentral:tRNA from 1 species
AACGAGAUAGUUCAGCGGCAGAACGUCUGGCUCUCAAUCCGGAUCGACGCAGGUUCAAAUCCUGCUCUCGUUG